rnacentral:rRNA from 1 species
GAUGAACGCUGGCGGCGUGCCUAAUACAUGCAAGUCGAGCGAACAGACCAGGUUCUUGCUCCUUUUACGUUAUCGGCGGACGGGUAAGUAACGCGUGGGUCACCUGCCUAUAAGACUGGGAUAACUUCUAGAAACCGGAGCUAAUACCUGAUAAUAUUUCGAACCGCAUGGUUCUAUAGUUAAAGGUGGCUUUUCUAUUACUUAUAGAUGGAGCUGCGCCGUAUUAUCUAGUUGGUAAGGUAACGGCUUACCAAGGCAACGAUACGUAGCCGACCUGAGAGGGUGAUCGGCGACACUGGAACUGAGACACGGUCCAGACUCAGACGGGAGGGAGCAGUAGGGAAGCUUCAGAAAUGGGCGAAAGCCGGACGGAGCAACGCCGCGUGAGUGGUGAAGGUCUUCGGAUCGUAAAACUCUGUUAUUAGGGAAGAACAAACGUGUAAGUAACUGUGCACGUCUUGACGGUACCUAAUCAGAAAGCAACGGCUAACUACGUG